GACGGGUAUCCGGCCUGAGAGGGUGAACGGACACACUGGAACUGAGACACGGUCCAGACUCCUACGGGAGGCAGCAGUAGGGAAUAUUGCUCAAUGGGGGAAACCCUGAAGCAGCAACGCCGCGUGGAGGAUGAAGGUUUUAGGAUUGUAAACUCCUCUUGUUAGAGAAGAUUAUGACGGUAUCUAACGAAUAAGCACCGGCUAACUCCGUGCCAGCAGCCGCGGUAAUACGGAGGGUGCAAGCGUUACUCGGAAUCACUGGGCGUAAAGAGUGCGCAGGCGGGAUAGCAAGUCAGAUGUGAAAUGCUAUGGCUUAACCAUAGAACUGCAUUUGAAACUGUUAUUCUA
rnacentral:rRNA from 1 species